rnacentral:lncRNA from 1 species
GCCUGAGCACGUCCCUUGUCCCAACAGGAGAAGGGGGAGGGUUAAUCACGUCUAUCCGCCAUUUUCUGAGCGGAGGAGGAAGACAUGUUGGAACAAAAAAAAAAAAACAACAAAAGAAAGCAGCCAUUUCCAGUACCAGCUCCAAACUCUCAACCUCAUCAAGAACACUGACUCUCACAGAAACAAGCUCAUGCUUUCUUCUGAUCACUUUAAGAAUUUCUCAUAGCUCACAAACUGCUGAAGAUCUCACUUUCAGUGCACAGCAUGUAAGCCUGAGAACACGGUAUGGGGCAGGGAAAGGGAGCUACAAGGAUACACAGCUAGUUGUUAAGCUUAGAAUGGAGUAUUUUUCCCAGCAGUCCAACUCCUUCUAGAGUAAGUCUCUUAUGGUGGUGUCCCAGCUCACAGGAACAUUAAAGGAAAGUCACCAUACUUGGCACAUAUAAUUGAAUCCUACCGUAUAUGCGGGAUGCCAACUCCUCCUUGCAGAAUUUUGUAGAGUUUGCUCUCAUACAGCAGCUGGGGAUGUCUGGCCUUCUGAGACUCCAACUUCACAGCAACUUCCUCCCCGUUGGUGAUGUUGAUCGCCAAAUAGAUGUCCCCGAAGGAGCCCGAGCCGAUUUUCCGCACCAGCUUGUACUUGCCCCCGACGAUGAACUCGGCCUUGGAGCCGCUGCUGCUCGCCAUGGCGAGAGGCGGCUGCGGCGCUCUCUCGGCGCUACGGGGCCCGGGGGAAGGGAGAGGGGAGAGAGGGCUCUACCGCCGCCCCGAGAAGGGAAGAGGGGCAGGGGAGGGAAGGAACGAGAGGGGAGAAGAACGUAGAACGGCGGUCCCCGCCGCUCAGCUCGGGCCGGGCCCUUCGGGCGGCCGCCCCGCUCCGCAGCUCUGCCCCGCUCCCCGGCCGGGCGCCGCUCGGCUCCCCGCGCCCUCCAGAGAGGUGAGAAGCGGCCGCCGAGGUGCUGCGAGGGAGCGGGAGGGGAGAGGGGAAGGGAAACGCGAGGCCCGCUGGCUCCGCCGGGUCCCGGCCGCCGCCGGUCCCUCACUCGGCCGCCGCCGCCAUCUUGUCUCUCAACCGCUGCUAUCGCGGACACAAAAUGCCCCCAGCCUGCAGCCGCCGCUUCUUCACCGCGCGGGGCACGCUGGGAGCGGGGCGGGGCGGCCCCGGCGCUUGCGCUAAGGUGAGGCCGCCUCCUGCCCGCGGCGCGCCUGCGCGACGGGCAGCGCGGGCGGGGAUAAGGCCGAGAGACGGCCGCAGAAAGCCCUCUGCGCGUGCGCGCACACCACCCUCCCGCCGGGCCAAUGACCGCCGUCGGUUUCCAUCCGCCCCCAGCAAUGCGUCGCGACGCGUUCUAGAUGUGCGCAUGCGCGUCACUGAAGCCCGAGCCCGGGCGGAAGAGGAAGGGGAGAAGCGUCUGUGCCCUCCCUGCUCCUUAAAGGGGCUGGGGCGUCUGGGGUGCGGGCAGGGCCUGCCUGGGCCUCGGAGUCAUAAGGUCUGGUGACAGCAAGUAGUGGUCACAGACAGCCGAAUGUCGCUUAGAAGUCCUUUGGAGAUGGCUGUGUUUGCCCAGGGAGAUGGCAGGCAAUGCCCUCGCUGCCUGCACAGCAGCUGUGACACCUCUGCUGGGGCUUUUCCAGGCCGUGUCAGACAUAGAGCCUUGUCCUCUUGUAUCCCAAUUGCCCGCAUUUCACCCGUGAAGUGAAUUUGUGUCCUGCUGCAGUGCUGGGGCUGUAAGCACCUACAGCCUGCAUUCUGUGGGGCUGAGCCCCACCACCUGAAGGGGGCCUACAGGAAAGCUGGGGAGGGACUUUUUAUGAGGGCAGGUAGCGACAGGAUGAGGGGGAAUGGUUUUAAACCAGACGAGGGUAGAUUUAGACUAGAUAUCAGGAAGAAAUUCUUUACUGUGAGGGUGGUGAGACACUGGAAUGGGUUGCUUGGUGAGGUUGUGAAUGCCCCCUCCCUGGAAGGGGGGGGGGGGGGGGGGCAUAACUAGGUGAUUUUAAGGGUCCCUUCCAACCCAAACCAUUCUAUGAUUCUAUGUACACAGCUCUCCAUGACGCUGUGAGCACACAAUAUCUGCCUCGUUACCCCUCCCUGCCCAGCCCGACAGCUUGUGUUAUCCAUCCGACCUUCAGCCCCGGCCUGUCGGGAGGCAGCGCACAGGGCUGGCAAUCCCAGCAGGCCUCACAUUGCUGUGGGAGGUUUCUGAGGCAGUGGUGGGUUUGUGAGGAGCACGAGGGGCCCAUAGCUACUCGUGAGGCUCCUGCCAGGUGCCGAGCAGUGUCACCUGCUGUGAUCACGCAGAGCCAUGAUGUCCCUGCCUUCCCCAGGCAUCUUCACCCAGGCUCCCAGCACAAGCAGC